rnacentral:rRNA from 1 species
AGUCGAGGGGUAUAGUAGCAAUACUAGAGACCGGCGCACGGGUGCGUAACGCGUAUGCAAUCUGCCUUUCACAGAGGGAUAGCCCAGAGAAAUUUGGAUUAAUACCUCAUAGCAUAAUGAGUUGGCAUCAACACAUUAUUAAAGUCACAACGGUGAAAGAUGAGCAUGCGUCCCAUUAGCUAGUUGGUAAGGUAACGGCUUACCAAGGCGACGAUGGGUAGGGGUCCUGAGAGGGAGAUCCCCCACACUGGUACUGAGACACGGACCAGACUCCUACGGGAGGCAGCAGUGAGGAAUAUUGGUCAAUGGGCGCAAGCCUGAACCAGCCAUGCCGCGUGCAGGAUGACGGUCCUAUGGAUUGUAAACUGCUUUUGUACGGGAAGAAACAGCGAUUCGUGAAUCGCCUUGACGGUACCGUAAGAAUAAGGAUCGGCUAACUCCGUGCCAGCAGCCGCGGUAAUACGGAGGAUCCAAGCGUUAUCCGGAAUCAUUGGGUUUAAAGGGUCCGUAGGCGGUUUUGUAAGUCAGUGGUGAAAGCCCAUCGCUCAACGGUGGAACGGCCAUUGAUACUGCAAGACUUGAAUUAUUAGGAAGUAACUAGAAUAUGUAGUGUAGCGGUGAAAUGCUUAGAGAUUGCAUGGAAUACCAAUUGCGAAGGCAGGUUACUACUAAUGGAUUGACGCUGAUGGACGAAAGCGUGGGUAGCGAACAGGAUUAGAUACCCUGGUAGUCCACGCCGUAAACGAUGGAUACUAGCUGUUGGGAGCGAUCUCAGUGGCUAAGCGAAAGUGAUAAGUAUCCCACCUGGGGAGUACGUUUCGCAGAAUGAAACUCAAAGGAAUUGACGGGGGCCC